UCUCCGUUGGUGAACCAGUGGAGGGAUCAUUACUGAGUUACCGCUCUACAACCCUUUGUGAACAUACCUAACUGUUGCUUCGGCGGGCAGAGGUCCCUCGCGGAUCUCUCCCGGCAACGCCCUCACGGGCGGAGCGCCCGCCGGAGGAUACCAAACUCUAUUUUAACGACGUUCCUUCUGAGUGGCACAAGCAAAUAAUUAAAACUUUUAACAACGGAUCUCUUGGUUCUG
rnacentral:misc_RNA from 1 species